UCCCUGGUGGCUCAGACAGUAAAGCACCUGCCUGCAAUGCGGGAGACCUGGGUUCGAUUCCUGGGUCGGGAA
rfam:Ovis aries breed Texel chromosome 2, whole genome shotgun sequence.